rnacentral:rRNA from 1 species
UACGUAGGGUGCGAGCGUUAAUCGGAAUUACUGGGCGUAAAGCGUGCGCAGGCGGUUAUGUAAGACAGAUGUGAAAUGCCCGGGCUUAACCUGGGAACUGCAUUUGUGACUGCAUGGCUAGAGUUUGGCAGAGGGGGGUAGAAUUCCACGUGUAGCAGUGAAAUGCGUAGAGAUGCGGAGGAACACCGAUGGCGAAGGCAGCCCCCUGGGUUGACACUGACGCUCAGGCACGAAAGCGUGGGGAGCAAACAGG